rnacentral:rRNA from 1 species
UACGAAGGGUGCAAGCGUUACUCGGAAUUACUGGGCGUAAAGCGUGCGUAGGUGGUGAGUUAAGUCUGUCGUGAAAGCCCCGGGCUCAACCUGGGAAUGGCGAUGGAUACUGGCUCGCUAGAGUGCGGUAGAGGAGAGUGGAAUUCCCGGUGUAGCAGUGAAAUGCGCAGAUAUCAGGAGGAACAUCGGUGGCGAAGGCGGGUCUCUGGGCCGAUACUGACGCUGAGGAGCGAAAGCCAGGGGAGCAAACGGG